GCUUUAUUCCGAGGGGCUUCAGAUACAGAUGACCCCAGCCCUGCAUCCGCCCGGAAGGCGUCCCCUUACUCCCAUGGGGCACCUCGAUACCAGCUGCCCUGCCCUGACUCACUUCUCAGCACCCAUCUUACGGCAGUCGGCCCUGGCCUCAGACCCUUGGGUUCAGAUCCCAGGCCCUCCUCCUACUCACUGUGAGACCCUAGGCGAGUCCCUUAGCUCGGGAGCCUAAUUCCGCUUCAUUAACAUGGGGGUAAUUUAACUACCUAGCUAGACGGUUGCAAAGGGAUCAGUUCACUAAUUCUCAAUGUUGGCAGUGCAUCACAUUGCAAACUCCCUGCCUCUGCUCCAGAGCUGAUCAGAAUCAAUAAGGGUGGGGCCUGAAAAUACUACAUCCAAAUUUCCGAGAAGCACAGUGUCUAGCAUACCCCUAUCUCUCCAUCUGGGGUUACUGUCACUCUCAGGAAGAAAUAAUCACCCAUUAUUCCUUCAACCAGGAAAAGAGAUGUCCAGGGCACAGCUUGGGGCCCCAGAAAGUAACCACGGAGGUCAAGAUCACAAACCCGUCAGUGUCCAGGGCAUGGCCUCGCACACAUCCGAGGUUUUCAAGGACCAUGAAGUGCCAUGGCAAGCAUCCUGGCCUGAGGGUUAGGAGAGCUGGAUCUCAGGCUCAACUUUAGCCUGAAUUCGGUGCGUCAUCUUAGACAAAUCUGCUCAAGUCCUGUUCCUUGUUUAACCAGCAUUUAUUAAGUACUUGCAGUAUACCAGCCACUAUUUUGGACAUUAGUGAUAUGGAGUGUAAUAAAGACUUAAUAAAGGCUAAUUGUGAUC
rnacentral:lncRNA from 1 species